UACGGGGGGGGCAAGCGUUGUUCGGAAUUACUGGGCGUAAAGGGCUCGUAGGCGGCCAACUAAGUCAGACGUGAAAAUCCCUCGGCUUAACCGGGGAACUGCGUCUGAUACUGGUUGGCUUGAGUGUGGGAGAGGGAUGCGGAAUUCCAGGUGUAGCGGUGAAAUGCGUAGAUAUCUGGAGGAACACCGGUGGCGAAGGCGGCAUCCUGGACCAUUACUGACGCUGAGGAGCGAAAGCCAGGGGAGCAAACGGG
rnacentral:rRNA from 1 species